rnacentral:rRNA from 1 species
AUUGAACGCUGGCGGCAUGCCUUACACAUGCAAGUCGAACGGCAGCACGGGAGCAAUCCUGGUGGCGAGUGGCGAACGGGUGAGUAAAGUAUCGGAACGUGCCCAGUCGUGGGGGAUAACGUAGCGAAAGUUACGCUAAUACCGCAUACGAUCUAUGGAUGAAAGCGGGGGAUCGCAAGACCGCGCGCGAUUGGAGCGGCCGAUAUCAGAUUAGGUAGUUGGUGGGGUAAAGGCUCACCAAGCCGACGAUCUGUAGCUGGUCUGAGAGGACGACCAGCCACACUGGGACUGAGACACGGUCCAGACUCCUACGGGAGGCAGCAGUGGGGAAUUUUGGACAAUGGGCGAAAGCCUGAUCCAGCCAUGCCGCGUGCAGGAUGAAGGCCUUCGGGUUGUAAACUGCUUUUGUACGGAACGAAAAGGUUUGGCCUAAUAAGCUGAGCUCAUGACGGUACCGUAAGAAUAAGCACCGGCUAACUACGUGCCAGCCGCCGCGGUAA